CUGGCUACACCCGCUCAGAAAAUGGGUUUCAUUGACAAGCCGAAGGUUUAAAGAUGAAUAUGUUGAGGGAGGAAUUUCCUUGACUGGAAGAUGGAUUUGGGUGGUGCUUGAUCUGCAAUGAAACUACAUUCUUUUGAAUUUGCCUUGACGAUGAUGACGGUGUGACUUCCUCCCUACUGGGAAAUUCACCAAUAAACCAUGACAUGAACAUCCUGCCUUCCACCAACACUCCUGGUAUCGCCCUUCUCUCCACCAUUUAAACUCCAGUCUAAAGAAGUCUGAUCCCCCCGCCCCUCCAAGCCUUUGGCAGCAUCUUCCACCAAGGAGUGCUUAGGAAUCCAGCCAGGGACCAGGACCCAGUUGUGCCAGGUGCUGUACAAACACAGAAGAAAAAGACAGUCCCUGUCUCCAAGAGAUAGCAAUUUGGCCUGCUUUUCACCUGGAGGACAACUGUUAGCUACGUGAAAAGAUCUGACGCUGAAGUGGACCCUGUGUUGUAAGAAGCAGAGCUAGGAGCCUCUUCAAAAACAAUGCAAAAAAAAGAAAAGAAAAGAAACCCCCUAGCACUUCUGGUUUGUGGUGUAGCUCUGCCCUUUUGUACACAGGAAGAGCACAGGGACUGCUAAUCUGGUCUGGCAGUGCUUCGUGCUGUAGACUGCAUGCUGUGGCCCUUUCUGGGACCUAUGAGCUUUAGGGAUGUGGGGUUGUUUAUUGAAUGUUUCAGGGCUAGAUUUUCAACGCAGCUGAACACCCAAGAGUUCCCAGUUAGGCCCAUUCUUCUUUCUUCUAGCUCUUAUAACAUGAGGUCUAUUUCAGCUUCAGAUCUCCGUUAAAGAAGUGUCCAGAUUCCAGUGUAGGCACCUAACUCUGAAGCAAGCAGCACCCAUGGAGAACAAUGGAGGAUCACCUCCCCUGUCCCUCCCACAACCCAGCUGAGAACAAUGGGAGCUGCUUGGUUGCUGGGCUGUUUUGAAAAUCUG